GGACUGUGGUCUGCAACCCGACCACACGAAGCUGGAAUCGCUAGUAAUCGCGAAUCAGAAUGUCGCGGUGAAUACGUUCCCGGGUCUUGUACACACCGCCCGUCACACCAUGGGAGUCAGCAACGCCCGAAGUCAGUGACCUAACCUUAUAGGGAGGAGCUGCCGAAGGCGGGGCCGGUAACUGGGGUGAAGUCGUAACAAGGUAGC
rnacentral:rRNA from 1 species